rnacentral:tRNA from 1 species
GCCGCUGUGGCGUAAUCGGCAGACGCAGCGGACUUAAAAUCCGCCGGAGUAAAAUCCGUACCGGUUCAAGUCCGGUCAGCGGCA